GGCGAUGUAGCUCAAUUGGCUAGAGCGCACGGUUCAUACCCGUGAGGUUGAGGGUUCGAUCCCCCCCGUCGCUA
rnacentral:tRNA from 1 species